rfam:Canis lupus familiaris chromosome 17, whole genome shotgun sequence.
GCCUGGGUGGCUCAGCAGUUGAGCAUCUGUCUUUGGCUCAGAGUGUGAUCCCAGGGUUUUGGGAUCGAGUCCCACAUUGGGCU